rnacentral:rRNA from 1 species
AGGACGAACGCUGGCGGCGCGCUUAAUACAUGCAAGUCGAACGUGAAGCCGGGGCUUGCCCCGGUGGAAAGUGGCGAACGGGUGCGUAACACGUGAGCAACCUGCCCCGAAGACUGGGAUAACACCGGGAAACCGGUGCUAAUACCGGAUACCCUCUUCCCGCCGCAUGACGGGACGAGGAAAUGGAUUCCGCUUCGGGAUGGGCUCGCGGCCUAUCAGCUUGUUGGUGGGGUAACGGCCCACCAAGGCGACGACGGGUAGCCGGCCUGAGAGGGCGACCGGCCACACUGGGGCUGAGACACGGCCCAGACUCCUACGGGAGGCAGCAGUGGGGAUAUUGCGCAAUGGGCGAAAGCCUGACGCAGCGACGCCGCGUGGGGAUGAAGGCCUUCGGUUGUAAACCCCUUUCAGCAGGGACGAAGCGAAAGUGACGGUACCUGCAGAAGAAGCGCCGGCUAACUACGUGCCAGCAGCCGC